rnacentral:lncRNA from 1 species
AUCAGACUUCUGAAGGAUUGGUCCCAAGAAAAAAAUAAUGACUUAUGACGCACCUAGUAGGGAUUAUAUAUAUAACAAAAAGAGGGAAAAACACAAACCAAUUACUAAAAAUACGUAAAUUGAGAGAUGCAGGUUUAAAUUUAGCAAGUGAGAAUAAUGAACUCAACAAUAAGGUUACAGUUCUAACCAUGAGGCCUCUAAUCUUGAAUAUAGAUUUCAAGACGCUAACCAAAGAAUUAUUAAACUGAUGGCCUUACUUCUCCAAACCGUCUCCCCAAAUCCUUCAUUCUUAUUAAUUUCUCUAACUUCUGUGGCUCUUUCUGUGGAACAGGAAGUAUAAGUCUUGCACUACAAUGAUACCUAAACUGCUGAAUAUGAAUGAAUUCUUGUUUAUGUUCUCUUAAUCUGUAUCUUUUUCAUUUUAAAGGCUGGUCUUUAGGCUAGUGUUGCCCUAGUACCCAUGAGUUAACUAACAUGUGCUUAUUUUACUCUUGGUUUACUGUUUAUACUUUUUAAUAAUGCCAAAAGAGUAAAUACUAAUUUUAUGUGGUAGGGACUAGGUACCACGUUGUGAGUUGAAAUACAAAUAUGAAUGGCAUAUUGACAAGGGAAAGUAUGUGAUAAAUCGUAUGAAGGCAUAAUGACAGAGUAGGAAGUAAUGAUAGUGCAGAAAUAUUGGUGCUUUGUUGAUAGGGGGAAGCAAAUGAGUUGAGUUUUUUGUGCCAACUGAUAACAAUGGACAAGAUCCCUAUGUUGUACGAUGGUGGAAACAUGAUGAUAUGGGGAACAUUCAUCUUCAGUAAUGGUAAUCACACUAAUUAAAUGUGAUGAAUGUAUAUUGAUGCUCAAAACUCUAAGGCUAGUUUGUCAUCAUAAAAAAGGGGGGAAAUUAUUGUAUCUUGUUUUAAUGAUGAGCAAAUAACUACAAGGGACCAGGUCAUAGAUGUUCAAGGCAACAGUAUAGCUAGCACGCGUCUGUACAGUUGUGUCCUCUUAUGUAACAAACUGUGCAUGUGUUGCUUGUACUAUUGAGGACACCUGGUCUAAUUAUAUUUCAAUCCUAUUUAUCACUUAUCUAUAAAAGGAAAGGGAUGCUUCUUCAUCAUGUGGGUUUUGCAAAAUUAAAAGAGUUCUGAAGAGAGAAAAAAGAAAAAAAAUCAAUUUACAACGUUGCUCAAGUAUCGGUCAUAUUCUUAUUUAUUUUGUAAGCUAAAAGAGUGAGUUCUCUUGAGUGAAUCCUGAUUUGUAACAGAAUUACUAAGUCUAUAAGAGUAAUGCUCUUUUGUUUUCUUUACUUUGAGGGUGCUUAGGUAGAGUUGCCUAAGGUCAAAUUGGUUAGAGUUAACCAAUGUUAAGAGAGUUUUGACAGAGUUGCUAAGGUUUAGUUAUAGCUCAAGAAUAGAUCCAAUAUUGUUUAUGCGAAAUCACAUAUGACUAGUCUCACUUGCCUCCUGUCACUUUCUUAAUUUACCCAACUACCAAAUCAGAGUUCUAUGCCAUACUCCCUAGUUUCAUAUUAGUUGUGCACUUUAUUAUAAAUAAUUGUAUCAAAUUAUUUGUCCAUUUACUAAAUCAAAAUAAAAUUAAUAAAAAAAUUAUUUUUUCCCCUACAGUUAAUAUUUUUGAAAGCCUAAAUAAGUUAAGUUUUGAAUUUAUUAUUUCAAAUUUGUUGAUAAAAUAUAAAUUAGUAAAAUUAUCCAUCUUAUAUAUAAUUUAUUAAAAAAAAGAUAGACAACUAAUAUGAGAAGAAGAAAGUAUCAGGAAAAAAGAAUAAAUGCGUAUUAUAGUAGGAUUGCAUGAACACCUAUUAAUAAUUACACAUGAUUAGGGGUUGUUUGGUACAUACCAAAUUAUCCCUAGAAUUGUAUUCCUGGGAUUAUAAUUUCUGGACAAUUUUAUACUAUGUGAAAGGUGGUAUAAAUAGUCCCAUGAUUGAUGAUAUUAGUUUUAUACCAUAUUAGGAUGAUUGUAUAAAUUAGCUCGGAAAUAAAUUUAUUCCUUUUUAUAUAUUUUUUUACCUUUUUAAAAGUCAAACGAUAAAACUUUAAUCAAUAUUUUGAGAUGUAUUUCUUAAUCAAGUUAAAAAAAAUUAUAAUUCAUGGUAGAUUUCAUAUAGUUUUUGAAUAUCUAAACUUUAAUUUUAAGAAAUUGAAUUAAUCAAAUUAAAUUUAACUUUAAAAAUUAAUUAAAUUAACUCACAAAAAAAUAUAUCAAAAAUACAAAAAUAAUAAAUUUUGUUGAUGAGAUAUCUCACCUUAUACCUCUUUACAACUAAAGCCUAGAAUGAGGUAAAAACUAACACACAUUCACAUUCAGUGUAUAUAUCAAAUUAAUGUUCUGUACUAUGAUUAAGUGAUUAAAUUAAGUAAAAUAUCUGUUAAUUAAUUAUGAUUAAAUAACAUAAGCUCUAAAUUCAAGCGCACAUAUAUAUAUAUAUAUACCGAGACCGAAUAUGUGUAAUGCCAACAAAUUGUCCAAUUUCCCACUAGACGCUGCGUCACCCAAUAUUAUCUACACUCACCCUCAGCCCAGUCAUUUAUCCAAAUCCUACCUUCAAAAAUAUAUAAAUUAAAAACUAACAAAAUACUCUUAAAAAGAGAAAGAGGAAAAAUAAUAACAUUUUCAAAUAUAUAUUCCAAUUAUAGUUAAGUUAACCCUCCAAUAAACUCCAGCCACUCCAUUACCCCGAUCCAAAUGACAAAUAUAUCGCUCACUUAGUUUUCGUAUAAACUGAAAACCUCCUAAUAAAUAGUACGGCUAUUUCUGUCAUUUAAGAAGAAUCAUCACGCACAAGUGGACGUCUUUUUUUAAUUUUAUUUUAUUAUUCUUCUCUAAAUUUCUAAGAUUAUCUUACCUCCAAUGAUAUAUGAAUUAAAAAAAAAAAGAAAAAAAAUAUGAGGCUCUUUUUCUGAGUUAUUCUCUUUUACGGUCAUCACUUCUCUGGUAUUUGAUCUGCAGAAUUUUAGUGGCUUCUAAAAUCUUAGUGGAUAACAGUAACAGGAAAGUUAGAAAACCAAUUUUCUUGUCAUUUUCAAUUUUUGUGUAAAUAACAGUUGACCACGUUGUACAGCUCCGAGUUUGAAUUGAUAUAAUUGAAUUGUGCUGGGGGCAAUUGUUUUGCUAUGUUCUCGUACAAUUAGGGAUCUGUUUGUUUUGUGAAUAGUAAUAGGAUUAGGGUCUGUGAAGAAGGGUGUUGAGUGAUGGUGGCAUCUGGGGGUGGAGGAGACCCUGUCGAGUCAUUUCUGAAUUCGGUACAAUUGUUUAAGAAUGCAUUUUCCCCAAUAGAGUCAGGUAUUAAGAAAGUGGCAAAGGAUUUUGAGCAUUGUUGGCCGCUUGCUCCAAAGAAUGAGACUCCUGGAUUAGAUGUCAAGAAAAUGUGUGCAGCAAGUAAGCAAGACGUGGCUGCUAGUGUUGAUGAGAAAAAGAAGGGCUUGCUCAUAAAGUUACCCAUUAAGAUGUUUGUUGGAAUGUUUGGGAAUAAUAAUAAAGGGGCCAAUAAUGUGGCCAAGAAAGGGCUGAAGGAAAAGUUUGGUGUUGGAAAAGGAGAUGGUGGGAGCUGUGUAAACUGUCUGCAGUUUGAUGUUGCUUGGUCAUUAUUAAUGAAUGGUUUUGUUCAGGCUGUUCCGACCCCGUUUAAGUCUGUGAAAAAGCCGUCUUCAAAGGCGAAUGAGGACACUGUGAGGGUGAAUCAUGUAAAGAAGUCAAGUGAUCAGGUUGUUAUUCGAAACUAUGAUGGAGUGAAGGACAAAGAGGAAAACAAUUUAUCUUUUGAGUGCGUUUUUGGUUUUCUUUUUGAUCAAAUAGCCAUGAAGCUUCAAAAAUUUGACUUAGGAGUACAACAACACGAAUGCCUCAGUCAAAUUCCUCAGCCUGCCAAUCAGUUUGAUCAUUUUAAGGUGCUAGUCAGUAUUAUAGAGGGUAAAAGAGCUGAUGUCAAUGGAUUUCUGGGGAAUCUGAAUUUUGCAAGAGUAGGAGGUGUUCCUUCAAGUAUUGUUGAUGUAGGUUCUUCUACAAGAGAAGAGAGAGAAGCUGGUGCUAAUGAUAUUGAUGGUCAAGAUGAGAGCACAGGAAAUUCCGCAAAAAGUUUAGCGAAUGGUUUGCUUAGUAUUCCAUUAUCCAAUGUCGAGCGUUUGAGAUCAACAUUGUCCACAGUUUCAAUAACAGAGCUAAUUGAGCUUUUUCCUCAGUUAGGGCGGUCUAGUAAAGACCAUCCUGACAAGAAAAAGCUGAUCUCUGUACAGGACUUUUUCAGAUACACCGAAGCUGAAGGUAUGCCUCUCUCCUACUUUUAAGUUGAUCUGAUGUGUAUCCCGUUCAAGUGAAUUUGUCAAAAUAACUUUUUAAGCUUUUCAUAUUUGUUUCUCUUGGUCACGAAUCAAACAAAUAGUGAGUUUUCCUCAUAUCUGUGUGCCAUUUUGUGUUACAGUAGACUGAUUACUACUUCUGAUCUUCUAUUUUAUAUUACAGAACAUGUUUUCUUGGGUCCUUGGUUUAAAGGAGAAAGGGCGAUGUAGGAGUCAAUAGCAUUAGCACCAUACUCUGAGAACUAUGUGGUCAUAAUUGAUCUUAUAAUGUUGAUUUCUUUGUUUGAUUUUCCUUUUGUUUGCAGCUUUCUAUUCUACGUCGGGUUUGUCUUUGUAUAUUUUCUGCACUUCUUCAAUAAGAUUAAACUAUAUUUCUGUUGUCUCUUAAUUCAGCUUUCAUAUAAUCCGUAGUUAUAGUGCUGUACACUAAUGACUAAUCUUUGUCAGAUAGUUAUUCUUUCAGACAAUGUUAACCGCUUGCAGUGUGUUUGGCAAUCCAGUGCACCAGUAUUUGGCUAGUUAUUCCGCUCAUGUUUUACACAUUUAUCAAACCCAUGAGAAGUUUUCUAGUUUUCUGUGAUUGAAAAUGAUGAUCAUUUUAGCAAUCUACACUCCGUAACAACCUGUCUCUAAUUCUCCUUGAGCAUAGAAUUUCCUUGCACUGCCUGUGUGCACUCCGCAAGGCUAAGCCGAUUCUGAACCUGGAUAAACGAGGGGGGUUGUACUAGAUUGACAGCAGAUAAAUGGAUAUAUAGGAUUCAUUUAGCUGAUCUUAAAUAUUUUAGGACCCACAGUAACUGAGUGAUAUAAGAUUUUCUUUACUCUUCUUGCUUUAGUGAGCUCUUCCAUACAAAGACAAUAUGUGCCUAAACUAUAAAGAGCCUUGUCUAAGGUUUUCUUUCCCAUUUUCGCCUUGUGUCAUAUAUCAAGCAAAUGCACAUCUUCAAUAAACAGUAACCCUGUCAGCUGCACUGUUUUCUAGCAUCAGAAAUAGUGGAUAACAAGGGAACUAUUUCUCUUGUAACAUGAGACAGGAGACACAUUAAUGUAUGCGCAUACUAUGCUGUUCCACGUACCUCUGCUUAAACUUGUUGCCCCUAGCUUAAUUAAAGCCUUAAUUUUACAUAUUGAGAAGCUUGGAAAAAUAGUUGGUAAUGCUUGACUUUCUCUAAGAAUUGAUUUUCCCAAGUCUUUUGAGGUUCAGAGCAUCUGUUCUGAUGGCUAAAAUAGAAACCUCGUAACUAUUGGCACGUAGUUUGUAUUAUCUAAGGGGCAUGGUAACAAUAUGUUCAGUGAAAAUAUGAGACGUGGAACAUGUCUGAUAGAUAAUUGCAUACAAUAUUAUUGUCUAUCUGGUUGUAUUUUGCAAUGACAUUGUGCUAGAAGAUGUGGCUACACAAGAAAACUGCAAACUCAAGAUAAACAAGAGUGGAAGCACAAGAAAUAUAGCUUGUACCAGGUUUUGACUUGUAAGAAUAACUAAAAAUUUCCCUAGAAGAAAAUUUUGUUAAUGUGGAAUUGGAUGAGAUUGCAAGUUUAAGGAAACACAGAAGUAACUGGAACAUUUUUCCAGUAGCUGAACAACUGUCGACGUGAUUGAAAUAAAUGAUUCCUUCUAUUAUGUGCACCUUUUAUUUUUAUUAUCAUUGUCAUUGUCAUCAGCGUUAUUACUAUUAUUGUUAUUGUUAUUGGGUCAAACACACAGACAAACACUUAAACUUGUCUGAAUUUUUCAUAUACACUUAAACUAGGUUCCCUAUACUAUUGAACAACUUAUGUUAUCAAAUGUGUGCCUAUUGAAUACAUAUUUGACAACUCUAAACCACUUAAAGUGUGUGAAUGUCAUUCGCUGUGACGUGGCAAAUGAAACAAAGGAAAUUAUGUCACAUCAGUAAGGAAAAGAAAACGGACACGUUGGGAAAAUAAAGACAUUGGCUUUUCUUUGUUUCUCCUUACUACUUCCGGCGCUUACCAGCCAUAUCCAAUUGCAGUAGCCACUGUUACAAAAUUAACCCUACAUGUUCAGCUCAUUAGGCAGCAGUAGUCGUGCUCCUCUUUGUGGUCAUGCUGUAGCUUUUCUCCAUUAACUUGCAACAGUUCUAAUCUAACAUGGAGGUACCUGGAGGUUUGACAAUGGGGAGUAGAACUUCGUUCGUUUUGGCCAGUGAGAGAGAUAUCCUCCAAAUGAGAACAAAACUGCAAAUCGUUUUAUGCUCUGAAGUACCUUGUGAUUUCUUCACCUUCUUGCUCUGAUAACAGAAGUAACUUGAUCAAUAGUUUUGGGACCAUACAAAUAAUCUGAUGAAAUGAAUAUUGAAAAGUAAGACUUUUAUGUUCUAAUUUUCAGAAGCUGUUUUAUCGAAUUUGACUUUGCCAUGGGAAAUACGGCAAGUCGAGCUUGCAGUCAUAAUGUCCAAUUUCAAAGAAAUUACUCUCCAAGAUAGAUUGGAAGAUUCUGAUAUCUCAGGAAGAGGCUGCCAUUGACGUCCAUAUUUAAAAAGGAUAUGAAUACUUUAAAAAGGAGGAUGAUAACAUUGACCAGAUUCAAACAUAUAGUUUGAUUGAAAAGAAAACGAUAAUGGUUGGAAAUCCAUUUUUUUAAGUGAAGUUUCAUAGUUUCCUGCAAACAUAUACCUUGUUCUGUAACUUAGAGCAAUUGCAUGUGUCCAAAUUUGGUUGUCAAACAUGCACUGUGCCAUGUCCGCUGUAUGUGUUUAAUAGGCACAUAUUUUUCAGCGUUAGGUGUUCACUAGGUCAGACCCUAAUUAAGGUGUCUAAAUGAAAAACGUGGACAAGUUUAGGUGGGUCUCUAUGUAUUUGACUUUAUUAUUAUUAUCUUUUGGUCAGGAUGAGGCUGCCUGCUACAUACAAGAACUCCAUAAUAAGUAAUUUUCGGCAACUAAAUUUCCAUAUUGUCAAACAUGCCCUUAGUCCUGUGUUGUUGCAAACUUGCAGGGAAGAGAUUCUUUGAGGAAUUAGAUAGAGAUGGUGAUGGCCAGGUCACGUUGGAAGAUCUUGAAGUUGCUAUGAGAAAGAGAAAAUUGCCAAAGAGAUAUGCCCAUGAACUCAUGCAUCGUGCUAGAAGUCACUUGUUCUCAAAAUCUUUCGGGUGGAAACAAUUUCUGUCGUUGAUGGAACAGAAGGAAUCUACCAUCCUGCGGGCUUAUACCAGUCUUUGUUUAAGCAAGUCAGGCACAUUGCAGAAGAGUGAGAUACUUGCAUCACUAAACAAUGCAGGACUUCCAGCAAAUGAAGACAAUGCUAUUGCCAUGAUGCGAUUUCUAAGUGCGGAUGCAGAGGAAUCAAUUUCCUAUGGACAUUUCCGGAACUUUAUGCUUCUACUGCCAUCAGAUCGGCUUCAAGAAGAUCCUCGGUAGAAUAACUUUACCCUUUUUAAAUGAUAUGAUAAUAUUAUGCAUUCGAUAAUUUGUUAACACGUAAUACAGUAAGAUGUUAGAAUAUAAAAGAAAGUUACUGAAAGAAAGUUACAGUGAUUAGAUUCUUGUUUAGGUUUGCAUUGGUGGUCCAGCUUUUGGCUUCCAUUAGGUAACACUUCCCAAGUUUUGGCUGGGAAAGCUAGAUUUUUUGUUUGAGUUAAUCUGGAGAAAUGAGUUGAUUAGAGGCUUUUCUGUGGGAUUCUUUUGAAGACAAUAUUCAACUGUUAAUCACGUCUCGUAUUGACUGAUCAUUUGAAGAUCAAAUAUACAGAGGCCUAAAUGAUAAUUAAUUUCUAGCAUCAGUGGUACUGCUGUGGCAUUUCAAUUGCAAGGUGGGUGGGGCCCUUCUCCAGACCUUGCCCAUAGCAGGAGCUUUAGUGCGCUGGACUCCCCCUUUUUAGCGGUACUACUGCACGAGAUUAAUCACUGUUCAUGUUUAUGCUAGUGGAAAUGAAACUAGAAAAGAUGUUUGUAGGGGCAUAACUUGGAAAAACAAGUUACCCGGAUGGCAUAUGUUGAGUUUUGUAAUGUUUGUCCCUUUAGAUGUCCUGUGUCUGAUAUGGGACAUUAUAUCACCCAACUGGAUAAAUGGUUAUUGAGGCCGACAAUUGUCUUAGUAAAAAGGAAGAGAUGGAUGAUACCAAGGUUUUGGGCUGACAAAAUUUGCCUUUGUUUCUUAAGACCAACAAUGAACAUGGCUAUUUACAGCUAUGCUAUACUAUUGAAAAUGAUAUUCUUGCAUUCUUCCUUCGUAUGUAGCUAAAUACAGAAAACAUAAAAGAACUUUUGGAACUAUCUGGUUAGGAUAUUUAUAUAUCAUCCAAGAUCAUAUAAUACAGUGACUUCUCCAAAGAUAUGAAUUGAGGAUACAAAAGUUUUGGGUUUUGGAAGUUGUUGGGUUGGUUCUUCUAAAUUUUGUUAAUUUUGAGACAUUAUGAUCUUAAUUAUAUUUUGGCCGCAUCACAGAAGAAGUAGCAAGACAUACAACAAUUUUGAGAAACAGCCAGCUAUUGUACAUCGGGGAGUUUAUGUUUUAAUCUGAGCACAUUAAUAUUUUGCCGUGGGAAAAUAUUGUUUUGUAUUAGAAGUAUUAGAAGUUUUGGCUUUGGGAAGACAGUGGAGUUGGUUCUUUAUAAUUGGGUACUUGCGAGACUUCCCUUUUUCAGUGUGUGUCAAUUUUGAAGGUUUAGAUACUACAAAAAUAUAUUUUUAUUCAUAGAGUAUUUAUACGAGAGUUGGUUCUUUAUAAUUUGGGUACUUGCAAGACUUCCCUUUUUCAGUGAGUGUCAGUUUUGAAGGUUUAGAUUCUACAAAAGUAUGUAUUUAUUCAUAGAAUUGUACAGUAUUUAUGAGAGAACAAUUAAUCAGAAUAAACUAAUUAAUUGAGAGAUUCUUGGAUCAAGGGACUUCCUAUAAUCUAUUUCCUAGAAUAACAACUAAUAUAUUUUCCUAAGAUACAUGCUAUCCCAUAUUUACAGGAGCUGAUUACAAUCAAAUCUGCUAGUUGAUUUGCGGAUCAGAUUUCAAUCAAAUCUUCCAAUCAUUGUGGAGCAUAUUAUGACUAAAUCUGCCAGCUCAUUCGACACUCCCCCUUAAGUUUGCAUGUAAAUAUUGAACAUGCCAAACUUUCUAACAAAUGACUCAAAGGUAGUUCUGAAGAGGCCUUUUAUGAAAAUAUCUGCUAUUUCUUCAGUUGGAACGAAAGGGAUACACACACAUCCAUCUUCAAUCUUCUCUUUAGUGAAGUGUCUGUCCACUUCAAUAGGCUUUGUUCUGUCACGUUGAACUAGAUUAUGAGCAAUGCUUAUGGCAUCCUUAUUGUCACAGUACAACUUCAUUUGCAAAUUCAUAGGUUUCUUAGUUCUUUCAGAAAUCUCUUGAGCCACAAUAUUUCACAAAUUCCAUGUGCCAUGGAGCGAUACUCAGCCUCAUCACUAUUUCGAGCCACCACGUUUUGCUUUUUACUCCUCCAUGCCACUAAGUUUUCCCAAACAAAUGUACAAUAUCCGGACGUAGACCUUCGAUCAAUAGAUGAACCAGCCCAUCCGCAUUUGUAUAAACUUCAACACUUCUUUGCUCAUUUUUUUUUUUUGUUUUGAAGAAAACCCCCUUCCCAGGAGAACUCUUUAGAUGCCUUAGCAUUUGAUACACAACUUCUUAGUGUUCUUCUCGUGGAGAAUGCAUGAACUGACUAACUAGGCUCACAACAAAAACAAAGGCCAUAUCAGGUCAAGUAUGUGACAAGUAAAUCAACUUGCCAACCAAUCUUUGAUAUCGACCCCUAUCAAUUGAUUUUCCAUCCUUCGCAAACUUUAGAUUCGGGUCAAUCGAAGUUUUAGUUGGUCUAUAACUACUCAUUCCCAUUUCCUUUAACAGAUCAAGAACAUACUUACUUUGUGACACUAUAAUUCCUUGUUUUGAUCGUGCGACUUCCAUGUCGAGAAAAUGCUUCAGCAGGCCUAAGUCCUUUAACUUAAAUUCUGAGGCAAGACGCUCCUUUAUUUUUUUAUUUCAACCUCAUCAUCUCCUAUGAGGAUGACAUCGUCAACAUACACUAUAAGAACUGCUAUUUUUCCUUCUAGUGAAUAUCGAGUGAACAUUGUGUGAUCUGCUUGUCCUUGCACAUAUCCUUGUUUUUCCACAAAUUGAGUAAACCUUUUAAACCAAGCCCUUGGAGACUAUUUUAGAUCAUAAAGAGAUCUUCUACGUAUGCAUAUCUUUGACUUGUACUUUUCUUCAAAACCCGGUGGGGGAUCCGUAUCGACUUCUUCCUCUAGUUUCCCAUUCAAGAAAGCAUUCUUCAUAUCCAACUGUUGAAGAGACUAGUUAAGGUUUACCGCGACUAUCAACAGAACUCUAGUUGAGUUUGGCUUUGCUACUAGAGCAAAUGUCUCAAGAUUGUCAAUGCCAUAUGUUUGCAUGAACCCCUUAGCUACUAGGCGGGCCUUAUACCUCUCCAAGGAUCCGUCUGACUUAAAUUUAGUGGUGAACACUCAUUUGCAACCCACUAAUUUCUAUCUAACAACUCCCAUGUCUCAUUUUUUUCAAGGGCUUGCAAUUCCUCCAAAAUAGUCUCCUUCCACUUGGGAACUCGUAGAGCAUCUUGCACAGUUUUUGGGAUCUCCACUCUAGAAAGUUGUGAAGUAAAGGCUGAAUAACUAGGAGACAAUUUUUUAUAGGACACAAACAUAGAAAUAAGAUAGUUAUAAAUAUUUCUAACACCUUUGUGUUUUGCAAUAGAUAGGUCCAGAUCUAAGAAGGAAUUAGAAAUAGAAUAAGUUGGAAGAUUACCUUGAAUUUUAGGAAGGUCUUGCAGAUUUGACUUUCGAUAGUGUUGAGGAUCUUUGGUCUUUUUUUCUUGAGUUCGGUUCCUUCUCGAAUACACUUGUAUUUGUUUUCUCAGUUCCCAUUUUUAUUUGUCAUUUGAAGGCUCUAUAGGUUCAAUGUCAAAGUUUUUAUCAUUUAAGUCACUUAAGUCCCUAUCAUCUCUCGAAUCAUUGUCUUUUUCAUCUCUUGCAUCACAUUUAUUCAUAUCUUCUCCUAGAUCCCUCACAUUGGUAUUUAUUGUAAUAUCUAGCCCUUUAUUUGUCUAAUGUUUAGUUUCCUCAAUAUCCCAAAAAGAUGAAUCUCCACCUACGUGAUAUGCCCCUGAAGAUGAGUAGUAAAAUAAAGUCGGUAUUUAAAGAAAGUUAUAUCUAUUAUGACAAUUAUCCUCCCCGACUAAAGAUCAUAACACUUAUAUCCCUUUUGAUUUGGAGCAUAUCCUCUCUUUUUUUGCUUUCACACUAUCCACAGAACACUCCCAUUCACCAUUAUAACACUGGUCUCACUCUUGCCACAAAGACACCAUUUCCUUGUCACCCUGCUUAGCCUGCCAUAGUUUAAUUUUCAACUCAAAUAUUUGAGAAACAUUUUCUACGUCAAAAUAUGUCUCCCUAAUGGCUUCCUCACAUCCUUAGUAGUAGGUAAAAAAAGAUAAGGUUUACCUAUGAUUGCUUCCAUGGAAUUUAUUAACUAGGCUAUCAAGAGUGGAUUCUCUGAUCUCCACAUAUUCAUCUUUGGGUUUCCGACUUUCGGCUUUUUCGUCUCUCCGGUCUGAUGUUUCAACUUUCCGCGACCAUCAAUUGCAAGCUUUACGGACUGCGUCUAUUCCAAAUAGUUCUUCCCGUUUAAUCGAUGAGAAGUUAACUGGAAGGACAUGUGAGAAGCAUUGCCUCCUUGAGUCAUCAGAUUUUCUGUUGGAACUUCUAGCGAAGAACUUUUGUCUUCAUUUGAUGAUCCAGAAAGAAGAUCUUCUUGGAAAGCCGAUUUGUCCAUGUGAUAUUAGGAGAAAACGUCCUGCUCUGAUACUAUGAAGGUUUAGAUACUGCAAAAGUAUAUAUUCAUUCAUAGAAUUUUACAGUAUUUAUAAUAGAAGAAGUAAGAUUAAAAUAAACUAAUCAAUCCCUGAUUCUUGAAUCAAGGAAUUUCCUCUAAUCUAUUUCCUAGAAUAACAAUUAAUAUAUAAUAUAUUUUCCUAAGAUACAUGCUAUCCCAUAUUUACAGGAGCUGAUUACAAUCAAAUCUGCUAGCUGCUUUGUGGAACAGAUUAUGACUAAAUCUGCCAGCUCAUUCGUCAAAUUUAAUGGACAAUUAAUGGGAAGAUCCCCUAUAAUAUAGUUACAUAACUAUGAAUCUCUAUAUAAUGGAGUUCCUCGCUAGCCCCCAAGGCUUUGGUUCAAGCUCAACGCAUAAUGUGUGGGUUAGGUACACGUUUUGAGUUUUAAUCCUUCUGUGGACAAAAAAAGGUAUUUAGGUGGGAAGGGUAGAGGUGCAGGUCCAUUAUGCACUGAGUUUCGAACCGUGUACCAGACUACCAGUUGGCUCUUGGGGAUGUCUUUGUUGCCAAAGAUUAAAGUGUUUCCAGGUUACACAUGGAGUAUCGUGUGCACACCACCAAAUAUGCCUUGAGUAAUUAGAUCUCUUAAAAGCUGUACAAUUAUGCAUGUAGUUGGUAACUGCUUUAAGUAAUCACAUGCAAUACUCAAUUCCUACCCCUUAAUUAGCUUCCAAAUCCAUUGAUGGUUUUAUUGCAUUUGGAAGUAUUAUCCACAUUAGCAAAGUAAAGGCAGUAUCUGCACAUAGCAAAUAAAUCAAGCAUUGAGUUUAAUAACACUUGCAGUUUAUGUAAAGACGAUCUACAUUUCCUCUCCUUUUUAUUACUCAAAAGAAAGGAAUGCAUGUGGGUCCCCCGACAUUAUAGCAAUCAGAUGCUGUCUGCAGAUGAAAGGGACCUUGAUAUUUGUGAAACAUUACAUAGUUAAAGAAUGUUGAAGCACAAAAUUAGCGAAAAGAAAAGAGAUGUUAGAGAGAGAAUAGUAUGAUGGAAUAGAAUUCGUAAGUGGAAUGUUUUAAUGUUCGAUUAGAAAACGGCGGAGGAUUUGUGUGUUAUUAAAUUUCAGAUCAAAAUUUCGCAUACUCGCGAUAUCAAUUUUUCAUUUUUGGAUGUAGAUGCAUGUGACAAGUUCAGUUUCCUUUUUUUGUCUCUAACAAUUAUUUUGUUUAUGGUACAUGCAAUUGUCAGCAUUGCAAAACCUGACUGUUACUUUAUCUUUAAUUGAUGAUAUGGAGCCUUACUUCAAAGCACAAGUCUGUUUCUAAACCUUUUUGCGCAUGUUUGUUGGUGUUCUGGUGGUGUAUAACAUACAGAAAUAUCUGGUUUGAGGCUGCUACAGUAGUUGCUGUUCCUCCAUCAGCAUUAGCAGGAGGCCUUUCCUGUGCAUUGUCUACAUCUCUAAUGCACCCUGUGGAUACGAUUAAGGUAACUUGUUUUUCCAGAAGCAUUUACUUGCUUGUGUAAAUAAUACAUGGUGUUACUGUUUGGAUUUCCAGUAAAAAGUUACCCAGAAAGGUAAAAUAUGACUAGAUAAUCUUGGGUAAACAAUUCAAAAGGAGCUCCAUUGUCCCAAAGCAAAUUUACUUCCUUUUUGGUUUGUGCCACAUAUAUCACCUAUUUCCGGAAAAUGAGAAAUCUUCCUCCAAAAUCUUCAAAUUAACAUAAAACUGAUGCUAAUUCAUGAUAUUUCAAACUUGAUAUAGCAUCUUACUAACUAAUGGUUCCUCUUCAUCACAUUCCCGACCAUUAUUUAAUGCAUAGUCAAUGUAAUAUUUUUUUUUUUUAGCUUAAUAAGUGGUCAAAUUAAUGUAGUUAAUUGGAAAUGAGGUAGUAGUAUUCAACAGUAUUUUAUUGUUUUAUGUGAUAGUAAGCACAUUAUAUGCUUUCAUUUUGUCUUCCUUUACCAUAAGCACACCUUACAGAGGUUUGUAUUUGUAUUAUACAUUUCUGAUUGUAAGCCUGUAUCUACACCCUUUAGGAUUAAAACCUUUGUUUCGUGCAUAGAUAGUUUACUCUUCUUGGUCAUAAAGUCUAAAGGAGAAAUACAGAAAGUGAACUGGAUGGAAGGUCUCUUCAAAGGAUGUUAUAAUAAAACAUCUGACGUCUUUGCUUUGUUUUAUACUUUAGAUGGUUGAUUACUGGUUGCGUUUUAGUUAUACUAUUAUUUAAAAUUAUUACUUAAGAAGUAUGUGGGGACAUGUUGAAAGCGUAUGUAAUUUCCUAUUCUUGAUGAAGAUUUUUUAGCUUGAAGAUGUAUAAUUUCUUCUUACCAGUUCCUCAAUAGGUAAUUAAGUUCAUGCAAGGUUAUAUAUUUCAUAUGAUCUUUUUCAUGUUUGGAGUUACGUAUGCUGUGUCUGGAAAGUAUCUUAUUGUUUUAUUUGUGAUUUAUAUAAACAUGUUUCAAUGAAGCAUAACUAACUCUGAAUCAAGGUGAUAAGUCGGUCAUUUAUCGUGGCAUUAUUUUUGUGGUUUAGUUGGGUACGCUGAAGUUGAUGUAGAAAAUUAAUUAGCAAUCACUUAGAGUGAAAAUGACUUUCUAAAACUUUUGGCUGGUUCCUCAGACACAAGUACAAGCAUCAACACUUACCUUUCCACAAAUCAUAUCAAAGCUUCCUGAACUUGGUGCAAGGGGAUUGUACAGAGGCUCUAUUCCUGCCAUUGUAGGCCAGUUUUCAAGGUUAGUUGUUUUCUGCUUCGUUCAUCUAGCUUGGUAAUAAUUUAUUUUUCUGUAUCUGGAUCAUAAAUUUGAUUGAUUUUUGCAGCCAUGGAUUGCGAACUGGAAUUUUUGAAGCAAGCAAGGUUUUGCUGAUUAAUAUUGCUCCUACACUUCCAGAACUGCAGGUAAAGGCUUAGCAGUGGAGUCCUUCCUAGGUGUUUUCCCUCUCUUCUAGAAAAUAAUGUUCAGUUUCCGUCAUCUAAAUUUAAAGCAAUUCCAUAGUACCAUACCAAGAUGGUGUCAUCCUUACAAAAUGCAAGCAGGUAUUCUCACUUUGCACCAAAAAUACAAAGGAAAUGAAAGAAAACUUUUUAGUCUCAACUCGGUUCUCAACUUUAUCAAAGGUUCUCUGUUCAAUUUCUUUCUCUUUAAAAUAACCAAAAAUACAAAGGCAAGGUCUUCCGUAAGUUCUUCCUACAGCUACAAAGCCAGUUACUUUGGAAUCGUAUCUAUAUCUAUUCUAGGAGCACCGGAUGAAUGUCGAAACUUGAAAGCUGCAUAUGUCAAAGCCCACAACUCCCAGACUAAGUCGCAAUGAAGCAUGAGGUGGUUGACAUCCCAGUUUCUUGGACAGGCAAGUCAACUAACCACUCUGCAUAUCCUCGUCCUUAGGUUAUCGGUGGUCAAAACAGCCCCUAAGACUUAGAAGCACCGUUUUGGAUGCUUCUCCCCACUCAUUUUAUCUGAUUUUCUGACUGUUUAGCUAUAUAAUCUCAACAAAUAUGACUUCACCUCCUCAUAUGCCCAGUGUUGAAGGGUACUUUGUUAAAAUAGGAGUAGGAACAAAAAUAUAAUAUAGAAUCCUACUUGAAAAAAGAGUACUUUGUUAAAAUAGGAGUAGGAACAAAAAUAUAAUAUAGAAUCCUACUUGAAAAAAGACUGUAAUGUAGUGUCUCACUUGGAAAAGGAUUGAAAUGUAGUAUCUAUAAAUAGGGUCUCGGUGUAAUAAUGUAGAUACACAAUUCAAUAAUAUUCUUCUCCAAUAUUUUUCACAUGGUAUCAUAGCCUCAACGGUCUUGGUAGAGAAUUUUUUUUUAAAAAAUAAAAGUUUUCGCAGCUGGCGGGCGGUUAUAACUCAUAUAGCUGCCCUUCUGGCCAAUGACAUGCUGAGAAGGACUGUUUUGAGAAGAAUAUGAGACAGAGAAAGUAGUCAACGUGCUUCUAUCCGGUGGCUUCUCAGAUCUGAUUUGUGUAGCAUCGUGCAUUUUUCCAUUAACUACUUUCUUAUAUAUCUGAUUUACGUAGCACCGUGCAUCUUUUCGGGGACUACUUUCUCUUAUCGGAGUUGUGUAGCGCCGAGCGUCUUUCGGUGACUCCUUAGAGCUGAUUUGCAUAGUUUUAUGCGUCUUUUCGGUGACUCAUCGGAUCUGAUAUACGUCGUUUCACUUCUCGUCUGUAUUGUGCUAAAACCAACACCAUCAAGAAGUCCAUUGUCUCCUUGCAAUCAAACCCCAACCAAUGCCACUAUGAAUCGACCUCCCACGCGCCGCUAGGCAUCUUCGGCGCGCGAGGCUGUUUCAACAUGUUUUUUGGUGACUUUCUUGUUCAGAAUCUACUCGUCCCUUGAUUUCGAGACAACCCACAUAUUUUAUACCCGAAAUAUUGACUUUCCGACGACGUUUACUACUUUUCUAACCACUUUUUUCAAUUUGUUCCUUUCCAACUGUGGUUGCCCAGACGUCCCGAGUAGUCCUUACCAGUUUUUUUGCUGAUAUCUUCACCAACUCCCUUACUGGUCCUCUUACUAAUUACAUCUAUAACAAGCUCGGUACAUAUUACAUGUAUGCACCACAUAUGCACCAGCUGGAGGGGGGUAUGGUGUGGUAUUAGAAUAGGAGUAGGAACAGAAAUAGUAUAUAAAAUCCUACUUUGAAAAGGAUUGUAAUGUAGUGUCCUACUUGAAAAAGGAUUGAAAUGUAGUGUCUAUACAUAGUCUCAGUGUAAUAAUAUAGAUACAAAAUUCAAUAAUAUUCUUCAAUAUUUAUCAGUGUAAAGAUAUGGAUCUUGGGCAUAAUGCUACCCCAAAAGCUAGCUCAUGAGGGAAGGAUUUUCCGAGUCCAUAUAAGGAGACCAAUUGCCCAUCCCUUAUCCGAUGUGGGUCUUGUAACACUUCCUCGCAUGCCCAAGCCUCGUUAACUCGUUAACCGGAGCAUGGACAGUAUAAUAUGGGAGCCUAACAUCUGUGAACAAAAAAUUGGGAUGGGGCGGACUCUGAUAUCAUGUAAAGAAUGGAUCUUGGGCCCAAUUCAACCCUCAAAGCUAGCUCAUGAGGGGAGGAUUGUCCAAGUCCAUAUAAGGAGACCAAUUGCCCAUCCCUUUUCCGAUGUGGGACUCUUAAUAGACUUUUGAAAGAUAUCUUCGGCUGCUUAUCUAAUCCCAGCUGCUCCCCGAUUUUGUCCCUUGCUAGUGAAAUAAUCACAGGAAAUCAUUUCUCAGAAUGUAUUCACCCUAAUCUUGAAUGCAAGCCGGACUCUAAUUCCAUUUUUCACCAAGAACCAGACGGAUUUGAAAAAGUCCAAUCUUCCCUUUGGUAGACCUUUCUAAAGAAUCGUCCCAUAGGAAAAGGUGAGAAGUCAUGUCCUUUGGUAACGAAUCGAGUACUUCACAUUAAUCAACAUCUUCCAAAUGGCCUUGUCUUCAUUGAGGUACCUCUAGCUGCUUUCGCAGCAAAGCGCAUCUAAACAUCCCCAAUUUCCGUAUGCCUCUAUUCUCUGUAUGCUUAUUGAGUGCUGAAGGUAGUUGUAGUUUGCAACCAUGUACUGAUUUUACAAAAGUAAUAUAGUAAGAGGGAUGUGAAUUUAAAAUUGGUAGUUCUUGGAUAAAGUUGGGUAUUGGCUUAAUUAAGUUACUUUUGCCUUGGUCUUAAAAAGAUUGGACCUUAAAUUUUGCAGAAUGGAAGACAUAUCAGUUUUUAUGCUGACUUUGACAAGUUUGCUAUCUCACCUUUUCAACGUCGAUGUCUUACAUAUGUCCAUACUAUGAAAGAAUUGCUCUUUCUGGUGGAUGAUCUUUCUUCCAAAGGGGUUUUAUCGAACCAAUGCAUAUGCCUGAAGCCAAUCUCUUUGGUAUAUGGGAAAGAAAGAGCAUUAGUUGGGCUAGGAGUCAUUAGAUUGUUCAAAUAGAAUUCCCAAGCUACCUACAUAACAACUAGGGAGUUUGUUUUGCUAUUCCCAAAUGAAAUAUGAUUUUCCUUAUUAGAAAAGAAGUUUGUUUUUCUUAUGCAAUCUUCACUCCUGUUGCUUGACUUUAGCUGUGUCUGUUUACAUGGUGCCUAGUUGAGGCCUCCUCCUUAUUAACUCCUCUUAUGACCAAGAAAUCAUCAAGGAUCAAUGCUGCAUGGUUCAAAGCUCGGUGAACAAUAGGCUCGCCUCUCUACCCUUCUUGACUUAAAUACCAGGCUUUUGUCUAUUGAAGGGCUUGAACUCAUGAACUGCGCUUAACCCACACAUCACCUGCUUCUCUCUUACCACUAAACCAAAGCCCUGUGAUACCACACGGUAUCUACAAGCACAAAACAGUCCACACACAAACAAUAACAACCCUCAUUCACCCGCAACAACAAGACACAAGCGGUACAAGAAACAAACACUAACUUAAAGCGAUAAAGAAGAUAGUUAACUUGACACAAGGAGAACACGUAAUGUAGCAACUAAAGAGUAUAUUAAACUCUAAAACCUCUACACAACACGUUAACAAGCACCAAGUCCUUACGGUGACCGUCAAGGGAAUCAACUCACCUCAAGAUCCACCGUUUCCAAGCAACAAACAAUAUUGGCUUUUCCAAGCCCUAAACUACAAUGGUUAAUCCAAGCCCUAAACUACAAUGGCUAAUCCAAACCCUAACUAAGAACUAUACUAAGGUGGUCUACUCUCAAGAGAGAGGAUUUUCAAUGUCUCAUAUUUUCAUCAUUAAACAACUAAUUAAACAACUAAUGAGAGAAGACCUAAAAAGUCCUACUUAUAGUAUAUUACAAAAGAAGACAAAAAGACCACUUUGCCCUUAAUGAGAGGGGCUGCCAUGGUGUGUAAAUACACCAUAUGCAAUGUCCAAAAUACCCUUAAUGAAGGGGCAGCCAAGGUGUGUUGAACUUGAAUGAAUGGCACCUCUUCAAUGCUCUCAAAAUCGAGGAUGGUUUAUACUUCAAGGCUUGUGGUUCUCGGGUUAACAACAAUGUAAGCAUCCAAGCAACCUUCCACACGGGGGUUGCUUUAAGUCAUGCUCAAAACGGGCCUUCCUUGCAUAUCCUUGUGCUCUCGGGGUGACCAAGUCUUGAGCCUUUAGGUGUUGGCCUCCAAAGAUGUCAUCAAAAGCUAUAACCAUGGCUUGUAUCAACCAUUAAGUGAUUGACUUGUAUCAUCCUCCCCUCCUUGAAAAGGAUUCGACCUCGAAUCCAUACCUUGCAAAACAAGAGUAAGGACAAACAAGCACAACUUACUUAUGGCAUGAGAGUUAGAGUUAGCACAAUAAUAAACAUCAUCAUGCCAAGGCGGAACAUACUUGAAAUAUAACCAUGAAUCCGUUGUGUUAGUCAUGAAAAGCUUAGCAAAAACAUCACAAAGGGCAUGGGUAUGACCAGUAGAUAAAGAAACUACAAAGGACUCAAUAGUAUCCCGAAGUCCCAAAGGUAAGGCUACCCGUAACUUAGGGACCAUAAAGCACAAUUGUUUCCUUACCCCUUCAAGUGACCUCAUCAAAUGUGGUGCCACUAUUGGUCUUAAAGUCCACCAAACACACAUGACAUAGUCAUUAGAACAAGUCAACCAACCAACAAGUUUCGUACCUCUACGUAAUACAAAUCCAAAACUAACAUGGAUGUCAUCAUAGGCAAAGAGUUAGUAUAGGAAAGAACCAAGUGUAAAGGUAUACACGGGUGAAGAUAAAUCAUUUAAGCACAUACACAUUCUUUCCUUCAAGCAAAUAGGCAACUUGGCAUCCUCAAGUUGGUAUUUAUGCAAUGUAAGCACAAGUAUGUCAAGCAAGGAUGCAAAUUUAGAAACAUUACCCAAGGAGUCAAUGACACCUUUGCCCUCGGGUUUUCAAGAAGGACUACACAUUCCUUACCCUUAAGCGUGCUCUCAUCUUUCAAAAAGAGAUUUCCAUCUUUAGGAGGAAUGUUGUCACACCACAGUGGAUUAGCAUAUCGUCUAUAGACUUCAAGGCAAUCUAUACCAUUAUUUUCUCCACUAGGUUCCUUAGGAGUAUGUAUAUCAUCUUCAAACAAGACAUUAUACCUAAAGAGAGAAUGAUCUAUCCCACGGGCAGAUUUGAAACUAGCAAAUUCCUCACUCUCUAAAAGAUCAAUAUCAAGUUUUAAAGAGGUUUCAAGCAUAAGAUUGUCCCAAGAAUGGCUCUCGGGUUCACUCCCAUUUUGUUGACCAAUAUUUUCAAGUAUUUCACUCACUUGAGUUCUAUUAAUCACAUCACACACAUACUCAAGUCGUGGACAAGUUUCACAAAUAAGUUGGUCAACACAAUUUUCACACGACGAUGUACUUUCAUUCAACGCAAUAGCUUCAACACUAGGUGGACACACGUUAAUCUUACAAGAAGAGUCAACUCGGGCAUCUAUAGGAUCAACUAGUGUAUCCACUCGCACAAUAUGUACAUCAUCCACAAAUGGCAAAGAAUCAAUAUACUCACAUGUUCGUCUUUACCUCGGUGUGAAAGUUCGUCACAAGCUUGGGCAGCAACAUCCUUCGGGAAGCUCUCAUCGCAAGUUGUUUGGACAAUUGGAUUUUGAGGGAAGAGUUUGGGUAACAAUUGGCGUAUAAUUUCAAUGUGCCGUUGCAUAUCUUCAAGAUCGUCGUUGAUGCGAUCACACAUGGCCUUGAAAUUAUGGGCAACCAUGGUACCUAACAAAAAAAAAGGACAACAACAAACAAAAGAAAACAAACAAGAUUAGUAGUAAAAGCUCCUCACCAACACUCGUAUACACUCACCUUUGUGAUUCUCAUAAUUGGAGCGACAAAUAUUGAAAGUUGCUUAUACUCCGAUAGUCAAUAAGAUGUCAAUCCUACUUGGCGGCCAGAAUGGAUUCUUGUUUUGAUUGACUUAAGACACAAAACAAAAUUCACUUACGAACUUGAAACAAAGAAGUUACUCCGAGUUACAAACGAGAAAAGCACACAAAUAACGAAGACACGAAAGAAACAUAUUCAAAAACUAAUUUACAACUUAGUAGGUAUUUACUAGUUGCCAAUUAGUAUAAGAAUAAAAAAAAUGGAACUAAGAAUCAACAACAAGAAACUAAGAAUCCAAGAUUUUGAGCCCCAAGUUCCGGUAUUGUACAAAAAUUGGUGAUAUGGCGGUUUAGGAUUGGUUGAGGUUUUUGAAAGGUUCUUAUUUUUCCAACUUUGAAAUUUUGGUUCAAUUUUCAAUUCUUGAAGAAGUGUAUUUCGGCGUUGGAGAAGAAAAUUAUCAAGAUUGGAGCCCUUUCUCACAUUCAAAAAGGUUUGACUUGUCUUACACCUUUUGGGCAAGACACCUUUUUGAAGGGUUGGUGGCCCUUUCCUCUUUUGGACACCUAGAAAAGUGUUCUUUCUCUUUUUUGGUACAAAGUCUUUUGUAGAUCUUUUUGUCCCCCUUCCCUUUUGGUAGGUCUUUGGGAUUUGUUUUCAAGACUAACAAAGGCCUCAAUUCUUUCUACUUGGCUUUUGGAUCAAGCAGCACUAUUGAAGAGCUUUUUUGCAACUAGACAUGAAGAUAGUCUAGAACAACAAGAACUUUCAAUAGAAGUUUGAAAACCUAGCCUCACUUUGAACCUCCAAUAAUCAACAACACCUUUUUCAAGCUUAAAAAUCACAACAAAAUACCAACAACAUGAGCUCAAACCACACCUUCGAGUUUCGGUCCACACAAUAACACUAGCAAUGUUCAUGCUCUUGAAAACGUAACAACAAUACCAACAAAAAUGUUCAAGCUCAACUUGGAUCUAGACUCAAGGGUGUUAGUGAAGACAAAACUAACACUUAGAAACAACUAAGACAAGCAAAACACACCUAGAUCUCGACACAAAUCUCGGCCAAAACAACAACAAGAACAUAAUUUCGGCCAAGAACACAAAAAAUGGACAGAUUUGGCUCUUUUUGAUUUUUCAGUUCUCUAACACUUUUUUUUUUAUUUUCAAUUUUAUGAGCCCAAGAUUGAUCUUGUGGGAACAAGAUCAAGCCUUGCUCUGAUACCAAAUGAUACCACACGGUAUCUACAAGCACAAAACAGUCCACACACAAACAAUAAUCCCCCACAUUCACCCGCAACAACAAGACACAAAUGGUACAAGAAACGAACAUUAACUUAAAGCGAUAAAGAAGAUAGUUAACUUGACACAAGGAGAACACGUAAUGUAGCAACUAAAGAGUAUAUUACUAAAAC